UGCUAUUUUUCAGUUGCUUAUGUUCUAAUGAUAAAAUAACAAAGAUACAUUUUUUUAAUCACUCAUUAGCGACCUUAUAAGGAAUAUAUGUACAUUAUAUUGAAUGGCUGGAUAUGAUCAUGUAGCUUUGGCAUUGGCAAUUUGAUAUAACAACUACAUUAGACCAUUGACUUAAAGAGCGGUUGAUAUUCGUUUUACAUUUGUAGGCACUUUUGAGAAUGCCAUAGAUAAAACUUAUUUCAUGCAUGUGUGACUUGUGGAGUAAAUUGAUGAAUUAACAAUUUUGGCAAUAAUCUUCUAAGGUAAAUAGGGAGGCAGCUCUUAGUCUUUGAUGGUGAUGAUAAAACUGAUGGUAAUCCCUAAGUUAACAAGUUUGUUCUUUUAGUUAGCAGUGAUAUCAACAUGAAUUUUCUAGUUCAAUUGAAAUUCACUACAACUUUAAAUUAUUUUUAUCACUGUUUUGAGCUCUAUGUUAAAAGAUCUUAAAUUUGGGUAUUGAAAUCAAGUGGUUUACAAUUAAGUUAUCUCUAAAGAAAUGGGUGAACUUGAAUUUGAUGAUAAUGUACCGCAAAUCAUUCUCACCGUGUAGUGGUAACAGACAUCCUAUGACAUUGCUUGUUGUCAAAGAAUUUUGGUCUGAAUUCCUCUCCUUGUGAAAGUUGCUUUCUCUAUAUAGAGACUAUUGUGCAUUACAAGGCUGAAAACCAGCCAUUUCAUCGGGCUAUACAAGGUAGGAAUAAGGCCUAUCAAUUAUAUACCUAUAUACAAUAUAUUUCUAUAUAUAGUAGACUAAAUUAGGCCGCACAUAUUGAGUUGACAAUUCUACUAACAACCCCCUCAAAUUGAUGUUGGGUGAUUGAGAAGCAUCAAUUUGUCAAUAAGGUACCAAUGGUGAGGAUGAGAGAGAGCCUUGGGGAAAACAUUAGUGGUUUGGUAUUUAGUGAAAAUGUGUGGAAAAGUAAUCUCCCGAUGAACCAAGGCUUCACAAAUGGAAUGACAAUUCACUUCAAUAUGUUUGGUGUGCUAAUGAAAAAUGAGAUUGGUAGCAAUCUAAAUAGCAUGGUAUUAUCAACAUGAAGUGAAGUAAGAGUAAGCUACAAACCACUAACAACUCGUGAAGCCAUACAAUUUCAAAACAAUUAGACAACAUAGUUCAAUAUUUAGACUAAGUAGAUGACUUUAAGACAAGAACCAGAACCUACUUCUUACUCUUUCAAGAAAUGAGAGCAUCACCGAGGAACAUAUACCAACCCAUAACAAAACAAUGAGUAUCCACACAACCAGUCUAGUCGGCAUCAUUAAAGCCCUCUAACUGUAAAGAAUUCCUUGAAGGGAAGAGCAAGUUGUAACAAGAUGUCCCUUUGAGAUAUUGAAGGAGACAACAGGCAACAACCAAAUGUGUCUGGCAUAGAGCUUGCAUAAAUUGAUUGAUUUGCUAAACAAAAAACAAGAUAUCAAGUUCAGUAAUGGUCAAAUAGUUCAAACUACCUGCUAGUUGUCGAUACAUUGAAGAAUCAGAAAAGGGAUCACCAUUCGCCUUAUGUAACUUCAAAUUUACCUCUAUAGGAGUAAGAACCGAAUUAUUGUCUUGAAAGCCAGCUAAAGAAAGAAGUUCUUGGGUAUACUUAUUUUGAUGUAAGAGUGUGCCAUUCGAACAAGGUUAAACCUCAAGUCCAAGAAAAUACCGUAGAGGACCAAGAUCUUUCACAUGAAAGGAAGAUUUGAGGCGCUAUUGGAGCUGUUCAAUUAACUAGAGAUCAGAUCUAGUAAUCACAAUAUUAUCGACAUACACAAGAAGUAUAAUGAUCCCAAGGGUAGUCUUGCGAAAAAAUACUAACUCUGAGUGAAGGCAAGAUGCAAUAGAGUAGCACGAAACUUCUUAAACCAUGCUUGUAGCGCUUGCUUCAAACCAUACAAAAGACUACUUUAAGAUAAAAAAAAACUCAACAAAAGAUGAAGGAAACAAGCCAAGAAGAGGACGCAUAAAUAGUUUUUCCUUUAGGUCACCAUGUAAAAAUACAUUCUUCCCAUCCAUCUUACGAAGUGACAUCCUUUUGAAACAACAAUGGCUUAACAAUGAGGACAAUAGUAAUUUAGGCCAUAGGAGUAAAUGUUCCCUUAUAAUCAAGCUCAUACUCCAAUAGGACAAGUGACAAUGUCCCAGGUAUGAUUUUCUAUGAGAACCUGAAGUUUGUCCUACAUAACUUUGCACUAACACUCUUGAGUAUAAGCAUGAGAAUAAGACCUGGGCACAAAAGUAUUAUCAAGAGUAGCUUGGAGAGUGAAAAAAAGAAAAACCAUACCAAUCUAAAGGCUAGGAAACCCUAGUAGAUCGGCAGCGCACAUGCAAUGUAGGAUCAAUGGCAGUUUAGAGGUAGGAAGAGGUAGCGAGUGACGUUGCUGAUACACAAUACCUGACUUAAAACGAGGAGUACUAGACAUGUCAUCAAAAAGAGGAAGAUACAAAAUUAGGACGAGACAGAAAGAAAUAUUUAUGUUUUUAAAAAAAUCACAUUGCAUUAAAUAUGAAGCUUGUUAGCCUCUGCAUCAUAACACGUAAACCCUUUAUGAGAGUUACUAUAGCCAAAAAAAGCACAUUGAACUCAAUCUUGUCAUCUUUAGUGGUUGGUUAGUGAACAAAACAAACGCUACCAAAAACAUGUAGAGAAUUAUAAUCAGGAAGGAGGAAGGACAUCAAACAAACGAUACUAUGGAGAUCAAGAUGCAAAGUAGAAGAAGACAAAUGAUUAAUCAAAUAUACAAUCGUUGAUAAGGCUUCUACUCAAAAUCUAGAAGGAACAUCAGACUCACACAUCAAUGUAUAUCUAAAAAUUGGUGAUUAUGAUGCUCAGUGGCACUAUUAUGUUGAGGGUAUAAGGACAUGAAUGUUGAGAGAAAAUACCCUUUAGAUAGAGAAAAGAUUGAAAAACAUGAGACAUGUAUUCUCCUCCAAAAUUUGAGCAUAAGAUCUUAAUUUAGAUAGAAAAUUAGGCUUUUAAAUCAGCAACAAAUUUAGAACAAAGAAACUAGACCCAUAUGAAACGAUUAUUAUUGUCAAUAAAUGUCACAAAAUACCUGUAUUGAGCAUGAGAAGGAACAUCACUUGUAUCGUAGGCAUCAGAAUGAAUAAUUUCAAAAAAUGUAAAAGUGUGACUACCCUACAAAGGAAAAUGUAAAGAUUUGCUUUUGCCAAGUUUACCAGGAAAGAGAACUUAUUUUUAUUCUUCAAAUAACCAUGUUUUAUAUAUUGUGUCAGGAUUACAGAGUUGGAAUGACUGUAUUUGUUAUGCCAAUAUUGGCUAUUAUUAUUAAAAAUAGCAGAACAACCAAUAUAAAUUGAAUGAGGAAUGAAAAAUCACUAAAGAGGAAAAAGACAUCCCAUUAUAAGCUCUUUUUGUUGUCUCCUAUCCUGACUCUUGAUCCCGCGCACAAUUGCUACUAGAAUGAUCAAUAUGAAGAGAACAAUUUUCUUCUACUAAUUGUCUAAUUGAAAUGAGGUUGGCAGAUAAAUCAGGAUACACAAAAACAUUAGUAAAUGAAGACCCUAUAUUUUCGAUCACUGUAAUAGGAAGAGGACUGCCAUUGGCGAUUUGCAUAUGCUGCUUACCAUCAUAUUUAUGAACAUCAUGUAAAGUUGCCAAAUUGGCAAACAUGUGAUUGGAAGCCACGAUGUAUUUGACCUUGGAGACCAAGAGCAAAAAUGGCAAAAAUAAUCAUUUGUUGAACGUGUUUGGGAGUUAUGUUGGAAGAACCCAAAACAAUGGAUUGUACAGAAGAUGUAGGCAAAAAAGUGGACUAAACAACAAUAUGAGAUUAGUUUUGAGGGCAGGCAUGAAAAUCCUUAAUGACAUGACCUUGCAAUAAUAACAUAAUUUCUAGCUGCAAAAUUUUGCAAUGUGUCUAAUUUCCUAACAACUAUAACACCAUGGUGGAGAUCUAAAUCAUCAUCUUCCUCGAGUAGUGUAGGCCAUAUUAACCUUCUCAGAACUACAAGCAUUUUGAGCAAGGCCAAGCUGUGAGGCAAGAUGUUGUUCUUCACACAAGAGUUCACCUAAGUCAACAUCCAAAGAUGGGACAUGCUGGUGAUUGAUUAACUUAGCUCGUACAUUUUCAAUCUCAAGUCAUAGCUUCAAGAAUUGAUCCUACUGGCUCUCAGAAUGAACCACUUGUAGUGUUGCUAAAGCUGCUUUGGGAACCUGUGAAUGCAUCAAUCCAAAAUAAUCAUUUUUUAAAUUAAUAAAACCGAAUAAAAUAGCUCAAUAAUUUCCAGUGUCUAAUUCCAAUUGAAACUUUCAGGCAGAAUUAUCUUAAUAAUAAAUUCGUCAAAGGUAAUCUAACAUUGUCUUAACAGUAGUGAACCCAAGAAUAUUGUUGACUAUAUGAGGUUCAACAGAACUUAAUAGCCAGGUAGCAUUUUGGCAUCCCUGCUUUCCCAUGAAUUAAGUUCCUUGGGAUCAAUGGGAGCUGUAGAAGACCAAUCCAAAUGACCCCCAUAACUCCCCUUCCACAAACAUAUAGAUUUGGAAUUCCUAUCUAGCUUAAUUCUUGCUAGUAAAUCGAACAAUAGAAUUUUCUCCUAACAUAAUAACCACAAAAAAUUGAUAGAAAAAAAAAUCAUCAUAGCUACAUGACCUGCUGAUAGCCACCAAACCAAAGACGACUGAAACUCUAAACUAGAUAAGCACCACACCAUCGAGAAACCAAGAGACAAUUGACAACCAAGAGACAGCUAAGAACUCCACAAUAAAAAACUGAACCUCCAAGCCAGAGAACCACUUCUGCCAAUACC